rnacentral:rRNA from 1 species
UUGGGGGGUGAAAGGCCAAUCAAGCUCGGAGAUAGCUGGUUCUCCCCGAAAUAUAUUUUGGUAUAGCCUCGGAAAAUGAGUUCCUGGGAGGUAGAGCUACUGGAUGGGUCCGGGCUGCGUAAGCAGUACCUCCCCCAACCAAACUCCGAAUGCCCAAGGAAUGCUGUCCGGGAGGCAGUCGCGGUGCGCUAAUGUACUGCGGCGAGAGGGAAAGAACCCAGAACGACUGCUAAGGCCCCGGAGUGGCGGCUCAGUGUAGCAAAGGAUGUGGGUAUGCUGUGACAACUGGGAGGUUGGCUUAGAAGCAGCCAUUCCUUUAAAGAGUGCGUAAUAGCUCACCAGUCCAGCGUAGCCGCGCCGAUAAUGGUCGGGACUUAAGCCGCCCGCCGAAGCAUCGUCUUCACGCUUAGCGUGAGGGGUAGGGGAGCGUUCCCAUAGCGACGAAGCCGGGGCGGAAGCCUUCCGGUGGAGCAGUGGGAAGUGAGGAUGCCGGAUUAAGUACGCGAUAAACAGGGUGAAAACCCCUGUCACCGUAAGCCUAAGGUUUCCUGAGCCAUGUCGAUCAGCUCAGGGUUAGUCGGUCCCUAAGGUGAGGCCGAGAGGCGUAGCUGAUGGGAAACGGGUCAAUAUUCCCGUACCAACUGUAGGCCGUUAUGAGUUCGAGGAGGGACGCAGGAGCAGGAUAUCCGACGGCGGGUGGUUGUGCCGUUGCAAGGUGGUAGACGUUUCCGGGUAGGCAAAUCCGCCUGGAUAGUCGAGAACCGAUGCCGAAGGGGCUUCACCGCCCCGCAAAGGGAUGUUGACGCAUACUGCCGAGAAAAGCUUCGCGAACCAGGACUGCAGUUGACCGUACCGUAAUCCGACACAGGUAGGCGAGGCGAGCAGCCUAAGGUGCUCGAGUGAUUUACGGAAAAGGAACUCGGCAAAAUGACCCCGUAACUUCGGGAUAAGGGGUGCCGGCAGUAGCUGACCUAAUCAAGGGAAGGCGAGACCGGCCGCAGAGAAUCGUCCCAAGCGACUGUUUAGCAAAAACACAGGAGCGUGCAAAGGCAUUGUCCAAGCCGACGUAUACGCUCUGACUCCUGCCCGGUGCCGGAAGGUUAAGGCAAGUCGUCAGCCGCAAGGCGAAGCGAUGAACCGAAGCCCCGGUAAACGGCGGCCGUAACUAUAACGGUCCUAAGGUAGCGAAAUUCCUUGUCGGGUAAGUUCCGACCUGCACGAAUGGAGUAACGACUUGGGAGCUGUCUCUUCCGUAAGCUCGGCGAAAUAGAAGCAUCGGUGAGGAUUCCGAUUACCCGCGACAGGACAAAAAGACCCCAUGCACCUUUACUACAACCUGUCAUUGAUUGUCGGUAUGCGUUGCGUAGCAUAGGUGGGAGCCAUUGAAUCCGCGGUUUUGGCCGUGGUGGAGGCACCAGUGAAAUACCACCCUUCGUUUACUAACAAUCUCACUCAGCCGGCAACACCGGCGAGGACCGUGGCAGGCGGGUAGUUUGACUGGGGCGGUCGCCUCCUAAAAAGUACCGGAGGCGCACAAUGGUUGGCUCAGUGCGGUCGGUAAUCGCACGAGGAGUGUAUACGCAGAAGCCAGCCUGACUGCAAGCGCGACGGCGCGAGCAGGGACGAAAGUCGGUGUAAGUGAUCCGGUGGGACCGUGUGGACGGCCCAUCGCUCAUCGGAUAAAAGGUACGCCA